UGACCGCGUACUUUUUGUAGAACGGGCCAACGAGUUACGUUAAGUAGCAAGGUUAAGCACUUAAGGUGUGGAGCCGUAGCGAAAGCGAGUUUUAACUGAGCGUUCAGUUACUUGACGUAGACCCGAAACCGGGCGACCUACCCAUGAGCAGGAUGAAGCGAAAGUAAAAUUUCGUGGAGGUCCGAACCCACGAGCGUUGAAAAGC
rnacentral:rRNA from 1 species